rnacentral:rRNA from 1 species
AUCAUGGCUCAGGAUGAACGCUAGCGACAGGCCUAACACAUGCAAGUCGAGGGCAGCGCGGGAGAAGCUUGCUUUCCUGGCGGCGACCGGCGCACGGGUGCGUAACAGGUGUGCAAUCUGUCCUAUACCAGAGCAUAGCCCAGCGAAAGUUGGAUUAAUUCUCUAUGUGAGCCGAGAGGGCAUCCUUUGGUUUGAAACGCGAGGGUAUAGGGUGAGCACGCUUCUGAUUAGCUAGUUGGUGAGGUAACGGCUCACCAUGGCGACGAUACAUAGGGGGACUGAGAGGUUAACCCCCCACACUGGUACUGAGACACGGACCAGACUCCUACGGGAGGCAGCAGUGAGGAAUAUUGCACAAUGGGGGAAACCCUGAUGCAGCGACGCCGCGUGAGUGAAGAAGUAUUUCGGUAUGUAAAGCUCUAUCAGCAGGGAAGAAAAUGACGGUACCUGACUAAGAAGCUCCGGCUAAAUACGUG